UAUAAUUAAGGAAGAACUGGAUCUAGCCCUCAUCUUAAGCACCUUUAAAAAGGACUACAUUUCAGAUGACCUGGUGACCACUCUGUGUGUACAUCGGAAGAAGCUUCUGGAAAGUUCCAUAAAGGCUGGACCCCUUCUCCACAUAUUGACUUUGUGGGGGAGGAUGGAGACGACAUCGGGGGAGCAAAGCGAGAGUUCUUCAGUGCCAGACUGCAGUGGACCUCGCAUCCCUCAGGACCACUUUGGGGACUGGGUAUUUAGUGCCACCAUUCAAGACCUACCAACAAUCUAUAGAUGUGUGGUGAAGCACUACAUCUUUCUGAGUGUCCAAAUAUAAUAAGGCAAUAUAACAGGCCAAUACUACACAGCAGUGGCUCCUACGGAUAUCCUUGUCUGUUUCCUCUUAUCCUGUCGUGGCUGCUCAAACUGAACGGCCAAAAUGAUCAAUCAGUUCACGUGUGGCAUGAAUGCAUUUAGGAACCUGUGGGACCUGGUUAGUAAACACUGGAUUGCCUUCUUGCCAGUAUUUACCAAUAGGCAGGAGCCACUGUCCAUCUUCACAUUCAACUACAGUCAGAGAGGAACCAAACUGUGUGAGGAGGAGGACACAAUCUUCAGCUGGGAGAUGGUUCUCUACAUGAUUGAAUGUACAUUUUAUUCCUUUAUUAAAUUUAGGAGAGCUAAUUAGGAAUUUUAAACCAAACUAUUACUAAAAGUGUUUGAUUUCCUCAUACUCUUAAGCCAUGUAAUGAAUAUGUGUACACUCAUUUAUUGAUACAUGUUUGACUUUAAAUUCAUUUAGUCCCGCUAUGAUAAAUCAGACAUUUGACUUUAGAAGUGAAUGUAAAUGUUAUUCAAAUUUUUAAACAAAAUUUAUUGGCAGACAAAUUGACAGAUCUUAAAUUUGAGGACCUGCUGAUAUUCAUCACUGGGGUCGAUGAGGUUCACGCCCUGGGCUUUCAUGGCAAGCCGUCCAUUGAUUAAUGGCAAGCCGUGUUUAGUUUCCUUUCCAAAAGCUAUAAAUAAAAGGUUUAGAGUGACUAAAUUUGCUUUGUGGAUAUGGUACUUUCCUAAGAUGCUUAACAAAUUGGUUAGGUAUAAUUCUUUCUGUUUUUUACUUCUAGACCAAUAGGGAACAAAAGAGGGGGUAGUUGUGUGGUGGUAUGUUACGAUUAUUAUUCCUUGAUGUAUUGGUCAAACAAUUACCAACUGAGGUCAUUCUAGGGUCCAGUGGUUGUAAACAGACUGGUUUUCCAGCCCCUUUUAGAAGAAUUAAAAUACAAGAAGGAAUGGCAUCCAUGACAGCGGCUAACUCUUUUGGGGUGACUGGAAUGCUUAAAAAUUUAAGGAAUUCAGAGUAACUUAACAAUGUUUCAUUAUCAUUGAGUAGUUGGGUCACUAGAAUAAUGUUAUUUUUUUUAUUUUUGAAUGCAAUAUGCCGAUUAUUCCAGAUAAACGUGAUGUGGGGAGAAAUUGUUUGCAAAUAAACGACCAUGCUAAGAGCAUUUGUUUGUGGAAUUUAGAUAAGAUUAAGGGAAGUUUCUCUAUUUUAUAAUGUAUUUUAAACAUUGUAUUAAGAGUAGUAAAAUCAGGGCUGCCAACUUUUGAGUUCAGUUUGGAGGCUUCUUGUCACACUGAAAUGUGCUGUGACUUACCUUAAUGGACCUACGAUAAUUAACAUUCUCCUUUAUUGAUCCCCAGUGUGGAAAUUAGGGUCAUUACAGCAGCCCAAAGACCGAAGGAUGCUAGGGCAGAUAAGAGUAGAAUAGAUAAGAUAUAGAACUAGAACUUGGUCAGGACAGGAGAGAGGGAGACAUGUUUAAAUCCCAACUGAUGGUUAUGAUGAUGCUGGGAGGAUUGACUGAGUGGAUAAUGUCGCACAACAACAGCAAUGACAUGGUAGAUAGUAUGGCCUCAAUUCCACUGCCAUCAAUUCAGUAAUGGGAGUCCAUGAUUACACAGCAUGACCUCCCCCUCUCUUCGCACCGCUCUGUUUUGCUCCGGGUUAGGGUUAGGGUUGGUACGUAAGGCACAUUUAACUGAUAAUACUUAUUUUUAAUAACUUUACUGAAAUAAUGGAACUGGAUACUCCACCAUCUGUUGAACCUAAAAUGGAUUUAAAGAGGGAAGUUUCUCAACGUAAAGCAUGGAAAAGGUAUUGGUUUGCUAUUGGAUCCCUUAUCUGUAGCUUGGUAUCAUUGUCUGGAUCUGGAUCUAGAUCUGGAGCUACAAUUUGUACUAUGCUGCCAUCUAGUGACAGAAGCUGUGGAGACAGAUUAAGUAAAAAAGAGUCAGUCUGCAAAAUUAUUAAAUAAAAGCCGUGUUUUAGUGAAUGGUGGUGUUUGCUCUCCAUUUCAGUUUAACUUGUUUGUAGAUGUGAGGCCAUGUAGCGGAAGCACGGGCCGGAGGAUGAUAAGAGCGGAAGUGUGCAGUGACCUGGCAUCACAGCUCCGCUUGGAAUCGGGCCAAUCUGUAGACUUUACCCCGUCCACAAAUAAAGAACGUGCAAUUUGACAGAGCACAUUUGGUAGCACUUUAUGUUCCAUAAUGAUGCAACAUGAUGAUCAGUGUUAGACAACUAGUCUAUAGGCAGCAGUCAAGGUAUACUGAGACUGGACCUGAUCCUUCUGGUUGACUACCCUUCGCAUUAACGUACAAAACAAAAACAAUAAUACUACUAAUACUGUUACCUCUGUUCUUACUACUACUAUACAUGCAACUAUUACCACUAUUUGUAUUAUGAGGCCUACUACAACCUACUACUACUACUAUUAUUACCGCUUCUACGUCUGCUGCAUUGUUUAUUUCAUGAUAUUCUCACAUUAAUCUAUCAAUGUUGUGUGACUUGGUAAAGCACAUUGUUGUCAGUAAGUAAAUGACAUACAAUAAUGCCUUGCAAGAUCAUUUACUUCAGCAAAAGUACCAAAACUACAAUAUAAAUAUACUGCAAUACAAGUAAAAGUCCCAAAUUGAAAAGUUACUGAAGUAAAUGUAUGUCAAUAUUAUCAGCACAUUAUACUUUUAGUGACGGUAAGACUACAUUGUAAUGUCGGAUUCUGAAUACCCAAGAUAUUGAUAAUAAUCUGUUUGUUUGUUUUUUCAAAUCCAUCAAAACUCAAGGAUACAGUAUGGCAAAGUUUUAGCCUAACGCUAAUGCAUGGGGAAUACACACUGAAAGUGCAUUUACAUAAAUAUACAAUUGUCUUUAUUUUAGUUACAGAUUGUAUUAAUAAAUAUUUACACAUGCUCUUUAAGAAGAAAUGUAACAUUGGAGUAAUGAUAUGGGAGACUAUUGAAAAAGAAGAAGUGCAUUUCUAGUUUUAUCUAUGAAAGUGCAAUAUAUUUUAUGAAAUAUUUAUGAAAUAUGUAAAAAUAUCCAAUAUUCCCCCUGUACUGCAGUGGAUUGGAUUUGCUUUCAAUUGAAAACAUUCCACCUCAGAUUUGUACUUGUACUACCAAU